rnacentral:lncRNA from 1 species
AGCAGGCACGGAAGCCCUCGUGGGAGCCGGGAGUUCCAUGGCGAGGCCCCCCGCUGCUGCCCCAAGAAACGCUUGGGUUUGAGAUCUCAGGAAACACGGAGAGCCCCCACUGCGAUGGUGACGGCCCUGGAGUGGGUGGUGCUAAGGAAAGGGCAGCACACCCUUGAGGGCGGGAAGUGAAUGGGGUGACAAAAGAGAGGGCAAAUGGAUAAAUCACAUUCCACUCAACCGCCUCAGUCUGAAGAUGACAUACAUAAUUUCUGCUUACAUCCCAUUCAUAAGAACUAGUCCCAAGGACCUAUCUCAAGAAGAAGAGAACAUGGAUAUUGUUGCAAAGUAUUCUGAUAUCUACCAUACACACACGUUAAAUCAAGUUUAGCCUAAAGCUGCCUCCUUACAUAUUCUAAAUUUAGCCUAAAGGUUUCUCCCUAUAUGGUGAGCUAUACAUUAAAUGGAGGUAUAAACAGACUGUAACCUAUUUCUGUGACAAUCAUUGAGUUUUGGCCAAUCAAAGGGGGCCAACUGUUCAAGCCAUGUUCAAAUAAGGUAAAUGCCAAGAUGUAACCAAUCCAGCUGUUUCUGCACCUCACUUCUGUUUUCUGUGUGUCACUUUCCUUUUUCUGACCAUAACUUUUCCACCAGAUGGCUGCGUUGGAGUCUCUGAGCCUACUCUGGCUUGGGAGGCUGCCCAAUUUGCAAAUCAUUCUUUGUUCAACUAAACCGUGUUAAAUUUAAUUUGUCUAAGUUUUUUCUUUUAGCACACAUGUGCCAGCAAUACAAAGUUUGAGAAGAUACUAAACUAUUUGUUUCAGGGUGAGAAAUGCCAUGUCUCACUCCUUGAUGUACUCCCCCAGAAGAAUCCGCCCACUCAUACCAUACCCAGUCAGGAAUAAGCAAAAUAUGGCCUUGGGAAUUAACUUCCUAUUUCCAGCAUUUGUUUAAACUAAAGAAUCUUGGU